UGGCAUGUGUCUUAGUGGUGGAGUACCUGCCUAGUGUACAGGAGGCUCUAGGUUCUAUUCCUAGUGUUGCAA
rnacentral:tRNA from 1 species